CGGCGCGCAAGCGCAUUUGUGAUUACGGUACUUCUAAUGCCCAUUGGGAAAUACGGUACUUUUGCGCAUGCGCGUUUAGAAGCAGCGUAGUUCUCUAUGUGCUGUUGGAAUUACGGUAAUUGUGGUGCGCAUGCACUCUGGGAGAUACGGAGGGGCGCGAUACACACUUGGAAAUACGGUAGUCAUGGCACGCAGGCGCGUUUGGAAACGGCAGUCGUGAUGCGCACACGGCUGCGAGAGCUUCCUCACGUCCGACCCGUGGUUUUUUGGGGAGCAGAAGGACCCAAAACCCGUCAGGUUUUCUCCUCUGAGCUCCUUUGGGAUGUGCGUGGAGGGGGAUGGAGGCUGGGAAAGGGUGAGUCUGUAAAAUUUUGGUGUCUUCCUGGGCUUUUUCUCCUGCUCCUCUUUAGAUUUUGUUUGGAAACAUUUCGUUUUGGGCUGGUUGCUUUUUUGGGGUUUUGGUUUCUGGUUUUUUUCAGUGUAACCUGAUUUAUACAGAAUAAAAGAGCAGCUUUGUCCCUUUCUCUAAGCAUCCUGAUCCGAGAAAGACCAUUCCAUCACCAAAUAAUGGAAUUAUUUGGGUUGGAAGGGAAUUUCCCUGCCGUGGGCAGGGACACCUCCCACUCCCCCAGGUUGCUCCGAGCCCCGUCCAACCUGCCCUUGGACACUUCCAGGGGGAAUCAGGGUAUCUCUGAAGGCUGUGACGUGGCACUUGAGGAUGUUCCAAGUUCCCUCCCAACCCAAAACCAUUCCAUGAUUCUGUUCCUGGACACAGCCUCUCAUUGGAGGCUUUUCAGGGAAGCUCCAAGCAAAUUUCUCUGACUUUUAAACCUUGAUUAAACGCGAGAUGCCAACAACUCAAGCCCGUGAGUUCCCGCUGUCUCAGUCACCAUGGAAACGUGAGACUGUUGUCUUUUAAUACUUUUAAAUUAUAUAAAGGCUUGGAACAGC
rnacentral:lncRNA from 12 species